rnacentral:rRNA from 1 species
ACCAGACUCCUACGGGAGGCAGCAGUGGGGAAUCUUCCGCAAUGGGCGCAAGCCUGACGGAGCAAUGCCGCGUGAACGAAGAAGGUCUUCGGAUUGUAAAGUUCUGUCCUUAUCGAAGAGAGGGUAUAGAGUGAAAAAUGAUAUACUAGGACGGUAGAUGAGGAGGAAGCCCCGGCUAACUACGUGCCAGCAGCCGCGGUAAUACGUAUGGUGCAAGCGUUAUCCGGAUUUACUGGGUGUAAAGGGAGCGCAGGCGGCGCGUUAAGCCUGGUGUGAAAGCCCGCGGCCCAACCGCGGGACUGCAUUGGGAACUGGCGCGCUGGAGUGCCGGAGGGGUAGGCGGAAUUCCUAGUGUAGCGGUGAAAUGCGUAGAUAUUAGGAGGAACACCAGUGGCGAAGGCGGCCUACUGGACGGUGACUGACGCUGAGGCUCGAAAGCGUGGGGAGCAAACAGGAUUAGAUACCCGGGUACA